UUUAAGGUUAAAGUUAUUUGUCCUAUUGAACUAUAUAUAAACAAUCUAAAUAAUCAAAAUAUAAUUUAAUAACUAAGCCUGAAACAAUUAAAGAAAUUUAUAUUCGGAAAAUAGGAAAAAAAAAGGUUAAUUUAAGUGCCAGCAACAGCGGUUAUACUUAAUUUUUAAAAUAACUAAUAUAUAAUAUUAAACAAUUAAAUAAAAUAUUUACAAUUAACAACUUUAAUAAUACUAUGGUGAAAUAUAAGUAUUAAAUUUAAAAAUUAAAAAUUAAAUAAUAAUAAGUUAAUAAAACUCACAUAUAAAACUAGGAUUAGAUACCCUAUUAUACAGUCAAAAUAUAUAAAAUUAAUAAUUAAAUGUAGAUCAUUAAAAUUAAUAAAUAUGGCGGCCAAUUUAAAUAAUUAGGGGAACCUGUGGUUUAAAUCGAAAGUACACAAUAAGAUCAACUAAAAUUAAGUUUACGUAUGGCCGUUUAAGUUGAAUUAAAUAAUUCCUCUAAAACUGUUUUAAAAAACAAUAAAUUCAGGUAAACGUGUAGCUUAUUUUAGAUAUCAUGGGUUAUAAAUAAAUUAAUUACUAGAAAAUUAAUUUUAACUAUUAAUUAUAAAGAAGAUUUAAAAGUAAGUUCAAUACAAUUAUAUAAACUGAAAAAAUCAAUAAAAGGUGUACAAAUCGCCCGUCAAUUUCAUUUAAAUAUGAAAUAAGUCGUAACAUAGUAAUUGUACCGGAAGGUGUAGUUAGUUAUUUAAAU
rnacentral:ncRNA from 1 species